GAUGAACGCUAGCGGCAGGCUUAACACAUGCAAGUCGAGGGGUAGAGGAAGCUUGCUUCCUUGAGACCGGCGCACGGGUGCGUAACGCGUAUGCAACCUACCUUUUACAGAGGGAUAGCCCAGAGAAAUUUGGAUUAAUACCUCAUGGUAUAUAUCAUUCGCAUGUUUGAUAUAUUAAAGUUCCAACGGUAAAAGAUGGGCAUGCGUCCGAUUAGCUAGAUGGUAAGGUAACGGCUUACCAUGGCAACGAUAGGUAGGGGUCCUGAGAGGGAGAUCCCCCACACUGGUACUGAGACACGGACCAGACUCCUACGGGAGGCAGCAGUGAGGAAUAUUGGACAAUGGGCGCAAGCCUGAUCCAGCUAUGCCGCGUGCAGGAAGAAGCAUCUAUGGUGUGUAAACUGCUUUUGUACGGGAAGAAACACUCCUUCGUGAAGGAGCUUGACGAUACCGUAAGAAUAAGGAUCGGCUAACUCCGUGCCAGCCGCCGCGGUAAAAC
rnacentral:rRNA from 1 species